UACGUAGGUGGCAAGCGUUGUCCGGAAUUAUUGGGCGUAAAGCGCGCGCAGGCGGUCCUUUAAGUCUGAUGUGAAAGCCCUCGGCUCAACCGAGGAAGGUCAUUGGAAACUGGAGGACUUGAGUGCAGAAGAGGAAAGUGGAAUUCCCGGUGUAGUGGUGAAAUGCGUAGAUAUCGGGAAGGAACACCAGUGGCGAAGGCGACUACCCUGGCCUGUUCUUGACGCUGAGGCGCGAAAGCUAGGGGAGCAAACGGG
rnacentral:rRNA from 1 species